ACAUGCAAGUCUGGCGGCGAGUGACGAGCGAAUGAGUAAUACAUCGGAACGUGUCCUAUAGUGGGGGAUACCCGGCGAAAGCCGGAUUAAUACCGCAUACGCUCUACGGAGGAAAGGGGGGACCUUAGGACCUCGCGCUACAGAGGAGCCGAGGUCAGAUCAGCUAGUUGGUGAGGUAAAGGCUCACCAAGGCGACGAUCCGUAACUGGUCUGAGAGGAUGAUCAGUCACACUGGAACUGAGACACGGUCCAGACUCCUACGGGAGGCAGCAGUGGGGAAUAUUGGACAAUGGGCGAAAGCCUGAUCCAGCCAUGCCGCGUGUGUGAAGAAGGUCUUCGGAUUGUAAAGCACUUUAAGUUGGGAGG
rnacentral:rRNA from 1 species